rnacentral:lncRNA from 1 species
UGACCAAGUGACCUGUUAAAAGGCUGAAGGCACACUUUGAAGGCAGGUCCAAAGGGCUUCUUCGAAUGGGUCCAUGAGGAUGAUCAGCUUGAGGCCUGGAGUCUCCUUCCUCUCCACAUGCUCUAGCAGAAGCACAGCCUUCUGAGGUUUGUCCACAAUCACGGUGCUGAUGUCCGCUGCAGGGGGCCAUCAAGGAGAGUCAGGCCAUGUGGGCCCAGGUCAUGAGUGCAGGCAGCAUGUGCCAGGCAGCACAUGCCAGGCAGCACUUCCAUGGUCUGUGUGCCCAUAGCUUAUGUGUAAAUAAAUACAUAAGACAGGCCUCGUGUACAGAGGAAUUUGCCGUGGGUCCUGGGCGGAACCAAGGGCAGAAGGCCAUGGAACCUCCUCAAGCAGAGUCCAAGCUCCCCUUUGUUCCAGGCUCUGCCCCCAUCAUCCCAGGUCUGUUUGAGAUAUUUACCACCCCCUGCAUCUGUGCCAAGCUGUCAUGAACUUCAGAGGGCUGUACCCUGUGUGGAGGCUGUUGCAGAGGCUCCUUCUUGGCAGCUGAGCCCUGUGGAAGGAACCUUCGUGUGAAGUCUGACCAGGGACAGCUUGACUCAGGAAGCCAACUCAGGAGCCACAGUCCUUCUGGACCAGGCCUGUACCAGAGAAUUCUGUAACUCCUGGAUUUCAUGUCUAAACUGCCCCAAGGACAGUUCCAUGGCCUGCAUGAGCCUGUUCCUCAGGUCUUUCCUCCCCAUUGGCUCAAGGGGCAGCUGUUUGUAGAGCUGGGUGGGGUGUGGAUGGAGCAUGGCUGGGGUGGCCAGUGCUGAUGAGGGGCAGAGCCAGGGUGGGAAGAGGAGUGGUGGCAUAGCCCAAGGGUCUCUGUUUUUUCUUUUGUCCUGGGCCCUACAAACAGUGAAAGCAGGACUAUUCCAUGGCAGCCAACCCCUACCCCACGAAUCCCU